GACGAACGCUGGCGGCGUGCUUAACACAUGCAAGUCGAACGGAAAGGCCCUGCUUUUGUGGGGUGCUCGAGUGGCGAACGGGUGAGUAACACGUUAGUAACCUGCCCUUGACUUUGGGAUAACUUCAGGAAACUGGGGCUAAUACCGGAUAGGAGCUCCUGCUGCAUGGUGGGGGUUGGAAAGUUUCGGCGGUUGGGGAUGGACUCGCGGCUUAUCAGCUUGUUGGUGGGGUAGUGGCUUACCAAGGCUUUGACGGGUAGCCGGCCUGAGAGGGUGACCGGCCACAUUGGGACUGAGAUACGGACCAGACUCCUACGGGAGGCAGCAGUGGGGAAUAUUGCACAAUGGGCGGAAGCCUGAUGCAGCAACGCAGCGUGCGGGAUGACGGCCUUCGGGUUGUAAACCGCUUUCGCCUGUGACGAAGCGUGAGUGACGGUAAUGGGUAAAGAAGCACCGGCUAACUACGUG
rnacentral:rRNA from 1 species